UCACACGAAUGAGCCACACUAAAUACACUAACCCUAAGGUCCUAUUUAUAGUGCAUAGGACUUAGGUUACAAUAGGAAUCCUAAUAGGAAAUAAAUCCAAAUCCUAAUCAAAUAGGUAAUUAACAAAAUCUCUCCACCAAAGAAACUAACUAAGAAGUCAAAACCAAACCCAAAUAGGACACAAAAACCAAAUAGGUAACACAAACCUAAUUUAUUGCAUCAUCCUAAUUUUGAGCCAAAAACCCAACAAUCUCCACCUCGGCGAGAAAUUAGCAAACUUCCAAAUUUGGGAUACCAAAAUACAAAUGCAAACGUGCACCAAAUUGUUUCGAAACUGAUCUCCACCUAGACUCAAAAAAUCCAAAAGUCUUCAAACUUGAAAUUUCCUCCUGGCCUUCUCCAACAAAUUCUAUUACGGAAACUUAAAAAAAAUACGAAACAAAAUUCAAGCAAAAACUUGAACAUACGAACAAAAAGUGCGAAUUGAACUCCACCCAAAGAGCUUGAGUACCAAGCUCCAUCUCUUCACAUAACCUUUAGAGGAGUUCAGAACAACGAUCUUCUGCAAUGUUUGCAUCAACACUAGCAAAAGACUUAUCAAACAACUUCUUUUUGCCCUUGAGUUUAGGGUAAUCUACUUUCCAAUGACAUUUCUUAUAACAAUAGCUACAAGUGUUUUUUUCCAAGUUUGCUCCUUUCCUUAUUCCUUCCUUGAACUACCAAAGCUCCAUCUUGUGUGUCAGACCCUUUAUUCUUCAGCCCUUUAGAAUUCAAAGCGACUUUAAAAUCUUCCAAACUAAGACUUUCUCUACUAAAUAGCAUGGUAUCGACAAAGUGUUCAUACGAAGGAGAUAAAGAACAUAACAAAGUUAUCGCAUAAUCCUCAUCACUAAUUUGGUUGUCCACACUUUUCAAAUCUAUCAUAAGUUUAUUGAAUUCAUCAACAUGCUUAUGAAUUGACGUACCUUCAUCCAUACGAAGAGUAUGCAAACUUUUCUUCAAAUACAAUCGUUUAGCAAGGGAUUUGGUCAUAUACAAGCUCUCCAAUUUUAUCCACAACUCUGGUGCAGAUUUGAUGCUACCAACUUCACGCAAGACUUCAUUCGAUAAAGUCAGUAGGAUUGCUCCAAGUGCCUGUUCCAUAACGUCUUCUUUUUCUUCAUCAGUCCACGAAUCCGACAAAGCCUUCACACCCUUUAGCGUUUUCAAAAGCUCUUGUUGAAAUAACAAAGCAUGCAUCUUCAAUUGCCAAAUACCAAAGUCAUUACCGUCGAACUUUUCAAUAUCAACUUUCACCGACGACGCAGAAGGCUUCAUAGUGACUGCCAAACAAAGCCCAAGCCGAAACCUGGGCUCUGAUACCACUUGUUGUACUUUUAUGCGCAAACGGAAGCGAAUUAUAACAAAGUACCAAAUAUCAACGUCGUAGGUGAAAGCUAAAACAAACAAUCUCAAACUGACACAAGAGAUUUACGUGGUUCGGCGUAAAGCCUACUCCACGGGUGAAGCACGACAAGGAAUUUCACUAAACAAACGGAGAUUACAAAAGAGUUUUUAAACUCUCACAACCAAAAUCCCACAAAUUUCAAACCCUAAACCAAACAAGUAGAGAACCCAAACCUAACAGAGAAGAUUCUCCCAAAUUGCUCUCUAACUCACAAAUUGACUAUCACCAAAUUGUCACACGAAUGAGCCACACUAAAUACACUAACCCUAAGGUCCUAUUUAUAGUGCAUAUGACUUAGAUUACAAUAGGAAUCCUAAUAGGAAAUAAAUCCAAAUCCUAAUCAAAUAGGUAAUUAACAAAAUCUCUCCACCAAGGAAACUAACUAAGAAGUCAAAACCAAACCCAAAUAGGACACCAAAACCAAAUAGGUAACACAAACCUAAUUUAUUGCAUCAUCCUAAUUUUGAGCCAAAAACCCAACAGGUUAUCU
rnacentral:lncRNA from 1 species